rnacentral:rRNA from 1 species
UACGGGGGGGGCAAGCGUUGUUCGGAAUUACUGGGCGUAAAGCGCACGUAGGCGGCUUUGUAAGUUAGAGGUGAAAGCCCAGGGCUUAACCCUGGAAUUGCCUUUAAGACUGCAUCGCUAGAAUUGUGGAGAGGUAAGUGGAAUUCCGAGUGUAGAGGUGAAAUUCGUAGAUAUUCGGAAGAACACCAGUGGCGAAGGCGACUUACUGGACACAUAUUGACGCUGAGGUGCGAAAGCGUGGGGAGCAAACAGG